GGCUCGAUGGUCUAGGGGUAUGAUUCUCGCUGCGAGAGGCCCGGGUUCAAAUCCCGGUCGAGCCC
rnacentral:tRNA from 1 species